rnacentral:lncRNA from 1 species
CGCCGCAGUACUGUUAUCACGAAAACAGUCGUAAUACAUUUUAAAGCUUUACGGUGGAAGAACUGAGGGAAGGGGAGUCUGGAUGAGUGAUCGGGUGAGUUCAGCCGGAGAGCCAGCCCCGGGGGUGGCUCAGGCGGAGACACAGCCAGGACAGGCCUCACCCUGGGUGUGGGGACUCCGGCUCCCAGGUGGACUCUGCCCUGUCGUGACACCAGCCCCAAGGGGGCCAGCGUUAGUACCACCAUCGUACAAAUGAAGACAGUGAAGCUCAGAGAGAUGAGCGAGCCCAAGGACACACAGCGAGUUCACCGCGGAGAGAUUUCCACCCCGAUGCCAGACAGUCGAGAAUAUGCUUCUACCUCCUGCCCUCUGGGGCCUGUCAACCCCCAUCCCAGCUUCCAAGGCCCCGGGCACCCUCCUCUGAAACUCUGAGGAUGUCAAGGCCCAUCGUGGGCUGUGUGCCCGCAGGUUCUGGGGAGACGUGAACUGCAGCAAGAUCAUGACAGAGAGACCCCAACACCACCACCAAGCAUGCCACCCGAGCAGUGUCUACCCUGAGCUCCCAGCCCACUUGCUCCUGGGGGAUAUUGUUGCAUCUUACUUGGGUGUGCAGGAGUCAGGAGCUGUACUAUACGGUUUCCUGGGGCGUUUCUUAAGGGCAGAAGACCCAUUUUACAGAUGAGGAAACUGAGGCCAGGAAGAUAACAGACUUAGCUCGGGGUCACACCAGUCAGCAACACUGGGGCCGGAGCCUGGGUGCCUGGCUCCUCGCCCACUGUUCCUUCAGGACACCAGACAACCAGCCAGGUGGGUCUGAGCCCCCCUUCUCUUGGUCCAGCCCCUCCAGGACUCCAAAGGCCUGACUGCUUCCGGUUUCACCCCCAGGGCUUGCGCUCACCUCUCUCCACAAAGGGAAUAACCCCGGGAAAGACUGUCCAGGGCUGGGGCUAAGGCAGAUUCUGGGGAUCCAGCUCUUUUGGACUCUCAGAUCCCCCCUUGAGUGAGGGCAGGGGUGCCUGCUCCCACCUCAACAGCCUCAAAGAAAGGGCUCCCUCCCUCACCAUCCCUGUUCCCAUCACUCAAAAAUAAAAGGAAAAAAACCCUCCAAUUGGCAUCCAUUCAGAAAACAGUUCUAUUUUCUGCUCUUUUCCUGUUCAGAAUAAAC